GAGUCGUUAUUUUAGUUUCUGGUUCGGAAGUAUUAAAGGAGAUGCUGUACUGAUACAUGCAACAAUUCUGCCACACAGCCUGUCUAUUUAUUACAUCUUGCUUUUAUUUUUUACUGCUUACAAUCAAUGACUCAGGUGUAAUAUCAGUGUUGUUAAACUGUGCAAUAUCUAUAUUUCCAUCAGUCAAUAAUGUAAAGUCAGUCAGUCUGCUUCUUAUUAUAUUGCUUUGUGUUUUUAUGCUGUUAGCUUAUUGUUCUGCUCUUACAGUUUACUUACUUUACAUCUUUACAUAUUGCUUUGUAUUUUAUUUUUUUCUACUGAUGCUUCCUGUUUGCACUCUCCUUUGCUGCUGCCAUGUUGCAGAUUUCCCAGCUGUGGGCUCAGGGUCUUAUUUCCCCAAAACAAAUAAUAUUAUAUAAGUUUACAGUGUUAUUUUAAGUGCUUUUCUUCAAACAUCUUUACACAUUUCUCAAAGUGGUACGAGUUUCUUAAAGGGACAGUUCACCUCAAAACCAAAAAUAACACAUUUUUCGUCUUACCUAUAGUGCUAUCUAUCAAUCGAUAUAGUUUUGGUGUGAGUAGCCGAGUGUUGGGGAUAUCAGCUGGAGAGAUGUCUGCCUUCUCUCCAACAUACUGGAAGUAGAUGGCACUCAGCUUGUGGUGCUCAAAGUGCCAAAAAUACAUUUGAUAAACUCAACAGCAAUGUCUCUUUCCAGGAAUCAUGACCUGGUUACUCGAACUACACCUGCCAUCCCUAUCACUGCACAGAAGGAAGCGUGCAUCUACUCAUGGAUGGGAGGUGCGUGCUUGUGACAGUGCAAGAUGUAAGCAUUAAUGGCUUCCUCCUAAUCUGAGCUGUGACGUUCGCUCAGUAGUGCUAGGUGAGCUAGCAUAGAUGCACAGUGAUUGGCAGGUGUAGUUUGGUAGAAAGAAAAUAGUUCCAACGUGAAACAGCUCACAACAAGGUCUGUGGAUUAUCUUGAGUAACCAGGUCUUGAUGUCUCGAACAAGACAUUGCUAUUGAGUUUUUAAAAUGUAUUUUAAGACGAGUGCUUUCUAGUUCCAUCAUAUUAGAGAGAAGGCAGGCAUCUCUAUGACCACUAUCUUAACUUGGCUACUCACUCCAAAGUAAUCUAGACUAAUUAUGAUUACACUUAAAAGUAACUUAACUGUUUGUAAGGCCACACUGUAUUAAAAAUGCAUAAAUACCAAAAACAUAACUGUGGUAAACGAUACAAAAGAAAUGUUUUAUAUGUAGAAUCCUUCAGUAUGAAAAUGUAGCUUAAUGAGCAGUUAGUAGUUGCUGCUGUUCAGGACAAUAACCUUUUACCAUGUAUUAAACCUAAAAUCUAGCAGUGAUGUCCUCACAAUAUUAAUGAAUAUGCACUUCAUCAUUUCUGUAUUAAGCUUCAUAAGCUAAUAGUAAAAAGCAUAUACACCCUGGAAUUAAAAAGAAGAUAUAAACACUGGAAUCAGAUCAUGAGGAAAAUGCCAUUUCAGCUACAAGAGAUUAACAUAUUAUUAGACUGUAUGUAAAGAUCCUUUAUUCUGACACUGUGAUCAUUAUUUUCUGGGUGAAGGCAGCCUUUUAUUCAAAUCAAUAGUUGUUCAAUUCAUUUUUUAAAUUUAGUUUGUUUUUCCUUUUUUCCCAAAUGUUAACACAAACAAUAAAACUUAACUGACGUGCAUCAUUUUUGGUUCCUGCUGCAGAUUUCAGAGCUUUUUUAGGACGCUCUCAACCUUCUACAAAUAGACAGGAGGCUCUCAUUAAUAAUCUAUGAUCAUCUUUAACAUGAUGGUUUGGGAAAUACCUCUUAGGGCUAGGAUGAGUAUAAAUCUUACAAACCCUUUUAAGCUGAGGAUUCCUCUGGGCCCUGGUUGCUAUUUUGGGUGCACAUCCCCAUGUUAAGAUCUAUGCCUGUCUUUUUGUGUAUUUCUUGCUCUCUCAGUGGUGCUGAAUGACACUUUAAGACCCCAUGUGAUGGCUAAUAACGGGGGUUCCUGCCCCCUCUUAUCCUCCCUUUUCCCCUGCAGAUAAUGAGGCUCCUCACACUGUGUUUCAUCCCCUGUGGAAUGAGAGCAAUGUAAAACCAGCGAGAGGAUCUCAUCUCAAGGUCCAGUCAAUCCCCCCACACACCCCCUUUUUUUAUAAAGCCAGCUGGAGCCACCAACACACCCUAACAGCAAAGAGAAGAAGAAGAAUGGGAGCCCUGGAGAGGGAUCUCGCCCGCUCAGACUUUCCAUCAAUCUGGAUACAAUGUGGAUAUGUCAAAAACCGAUUUGGGCUGGCAGUCUGAACAAGGCCACAGAGUAAAAUUAUUUAUUUUCUCUAAGGCUAAUGAUAGAUGAGCAGAAUCCAGUCCUGACACACAUGAAAAGCAACAUUUCUGCAUCAAAGGCAUCUACAAUCAACCUAAAUUCAUGAAAGGUUUUCAUGCUGUGUGUCCCUACAGGCCAGGCUUCUCCCCUCUCAGCUUGUUUUGGCCUCCUCUCAGCUGACUCUCUGCCUGGGAAAAUGUCCCAGUGUAUUCAUAGAGGAAAGGACUGGAUGAUAAGAGGUGGGAAUGAACACCAUGAGAUAGUGAUUAUUUCAUGCUU